rnacentral:sRNA from 1 species
GUUUUAACCAAAAAAAAA